AUGAAACCUUACAGGUAGCAAGUAGAUAGGGAAUAUUUUUUUUAGACCUUUUAAAGGUGUCAGACUCUCAGUUAAUCUUCCAAGAUCAGACCAAGGAAAGCUUCAGAGAAAGCCUGGCUGCAUCAAUGAAGAUUUGUCUCUACAAAGGCAGAUCUCCCUGACAAAAGCAUCAAUUGCUCUACAAUUUGGAGAUAUCAGACGAACAGAGGGAAAAUGCAGUCAGUGGUCUAAAGCUGCCCCUUAGGAAAUCUAAGGCUAUAUCUGGUUCCAUAAAGUCUUUAAUCAGUCAGUCAGAACAACUGCAGCAUUCCUGCCGCUCAGAAUACCUUAAUGGCCUUAGUAGCUGAGGUCCUCACAGCACUGGCAAGAGCAACAUGGCAUUGGAAUGGGAGGACUGAGGCUUAAUGUAGAAAUUUCUUAAAAGAUCAUAUGUACCCAUGAAUGUUCUUUUUCCAGCAAGACGGAAGAAGCCAAAGACUCUCUGGUCAUUGCAGAAGGAAGAAUGAGAGCCCAAGCCUGAGGAAGAUAAAAUGAGAUGAUUUGGCUUAAUAUGAAUUAAGGCAGCUGCCAGUGGUUCUGUAAUGAGCAAACUGAUUAUUUUUUUAUGUAGCCUCUAUUCACAUUUUUAUGUUUGAUUUUGUCCUUUGAUUGUAAUGACAGGUUGUGGUUACACAUUAUUAAAGAUGAAUACUAAAGAAGCGACUAAAUAAAAAGGCAAGAAAUUGAGGAUGAUUGGUAUAAUCCCAGCAGGGAAGCAGAUGAGGAAAGGCAGAAGAUAAAGUUUUUUUUAUGUCUCUGCUACUGUGUGCUCCUCACCUACACAUGUUGGAAUAAACUUAGAAUAUUUCCUUUAUUCAAUGGUAUUGUUGU
rnacentral:lncRNA from 1 species